AUGUGUAGGAUAGGUGGGAGGCUUUGAAGCGUGGACGCCAGUCUGCGUGGAGCCAACCUUGAAAUACCACCCUUUAAUGGCUGGUGUUCUAACGUAGACCCGUUACCCGGGUUGCGGACAGUGUCUGGUGGGUAGUUUGACUGGGGCGGUCUCCUCCCAAAGAGUAACGGAGGAGCACGAAGGUUGGCUAAUCCUGGUCGGACAUCAGG
rnacentral:rRNA from 1 species